CAAUAGCGUAUAUUUAAGUUGUUGCAGUUAAAAAGCUCGUAGUUGGAUUUCUGCCGAGGACGACCGGUCCGCCCUCUGGGUGAGUAUCUGGCUCGGCCUGGGCAUCUUCUUGGAGAACGUAUCUGCACUUGACUGUGUGGUGCGGUAUCCAGGACUUUUACUUUGAGGAAAUUAGAGUGUUUCAAGCAGGCAUACGCCUUGAAUACAUUAGCAUGGAAUAAUAAUCUAGGACUUCGGUUGUAUUUUGUGGUUCUUAGUACUGAAGUAAUGAUUGAUAGGGAUAGUUGGGGGUGCUAGUAUUGGCCGGCCAGAGGUGAAAUUCUUGGAUUCGGUCAAGACUAACUUAUGCGAAAGCAUUCACCAAGGAUGUCUUCUUUAAUCAAGAACGAAAGUUGGGGAUCGAAGACGAUCAGAUACCG
rnacentral:rRNA from 1 species